rnacentral:rRNA from 1 species
CCUACGGGAGGCAGCAGUGGGGAAUAUUGCACAAUGGGCGCAAGCCCGAUGCACCCAUGCCGCGUGUAUGAAGAAGGCCUUCGGGUUGUAAAGUACUUUCAGCGGGGAGGAAGGUGUUGUGGUUAAUAACCGCAGCAAUUGACGUUACCCGCAGAAGAAGCACCGGCUAACUCCGUGCCAGCAGCCGCGGUAAUACGGAGGGUGCAAGCGUUAAUCGGAAUUACUGGGCGUAAAGCGCACGCAGGCGGUCUGUCAAGUCGGAUGUGAAAGCCCCGGGCUCAACCUGGGAACUGCAUUCGAAACUGGCAGGCUAGAGUCUUGUAGAGGGGGGUAGGAUUCCAGGUGUAGCGGUGAAAUGCGUAGAGAUCUGGAGGAAUACCGGUGGCGAAGGCGGCCCCCUGGACAAAGACUGACGCUCAGGUGCGAAAGCGUGGGGAGCAAACAGGAUUAGAUACCCCCGUAGUC